GUCCGAGUGACACCGGGGAGAAGCGCGGAGGUGGAAAGCAGCAAAAGCAGGCGCCAGCACUGUGCGUCCCUCCUGCAAGAAGUGGUCGAGGGAGAAAAGGGCCGUCCUGUGGAUGCUGAUCUGUGACACGUUGUAUAAUCCACUCUGAGCAACCUGGACUGCUCACCAGAGAGCAUCCAACACAGAGGAGACAUGCAACAACCAGGAGGACGGAGUGACUCAUCCUGCGGAUGUUAGCUAGCCUCUCACCUUGGCUAUCCCAGAGCUGACAUGGUGGAGCCUUAAGAAGAGUGACAGUGAUGGCAGGGGCAAAUGGUAGGUAAAGACCCAGCAACAUGGGCCCCAUCCUUCUGA